rnacentral:hammerhead_ribozyme from 1 species
AUCUAGUUGACGAGUCCCAAAUAAGUCUAAACAAGUGUCCUGGAU